UGGACACUGCUGCUGUCCCCAGCCGGCGAGGCGAGGCGAAGCAAGGCCUGGCGGCACGGGCCUGGCAGAGCCGCUCCGGGAGGCGCGCGGGAGUCGCCCGGGCCUGCGGAAGAAGGUUGUGCUGGCCUGUGGGGACCUCUAGCGUGGCACGGGGAGUCGCGCAGGCCUCUCGGCCGUGCUGUGUUGUAGCUUCUCGUAGACUUUCCGUUCGCGACCUUCAGUACCCGUCUGGGUCAGCCCUGGUGGCUCUUCGGUGGCCGUCCCCUGUGAGAACGCGACGAGGCCCGACGUCCCGCAGCGCCUGAAGACAGGACCGGCGGUAAGGGCGCUGUGUCUGCGCCCCGCCACAACGCUCUGCAGCUCCGGGGUCUCGCUGCUGCUGCUGCUGCUGCUGCUGCUGGGCACGCCGGGCUGGGAGGCAGCAGAGAGGGACCCGCGCCUCCUCCCUGUCGGGCUGUAAUUCCCCCCGCCGCCUGUGGCCGUCCCUGCCAGAAACCCUCCUCUCCCCGCUGAGGCCCCUCCUGUCUCUCGGAUCCUUCUACGACCGGCCCACAGGUGAUGGCUGGAGCGUGGGGAGCCUGCCCGUGUGCCUGCAGGUCCAUCCUUCUUGUGGCCUGUUCCCAGUGAUGCUGCUUUGCUGCUCGUGGCCCUCGGAAAGGCAAGUGAGAAUGAAAAAAGAGGAAUUUGGCAGUUUUUCUUCAUGAUGCCCAAGAAAGACCAGAGGUCACCCCAGUCUUCUGUAGCUAUGGGUCCUUCGGGUCUUCAGUGCAAAGAGAAGAGAAAGAAGAGAGCCRAAACGUGCAUGCGCAGAGUUGUCUUGCAUCAGGUGGUUAUGUUUUCUUAUAACUAUUUUCAACACUGUGUAAGUGAUUUUUCUCCCUCAUCUGGAAAUGCAAGUUUUUAAUAGAGUCUUGGCCAAAUAUUAUUGCCAUUUGGUGUUUUUUAAAUGGAGAGGCUAGAAUCUUAUGCAGAUCAGGUUGGGCUUUCUUGAAGUAUUCUUUAAACAGAUUAAUUUUUAAUGGGAUUUUCCUAAACCUUUUUUCCCCUUAGAGAAUUUUUAUCCAAAUUAAAAGAAGUUAUUGACAAUGUUCAUUAAGCAAAAGCGCUUCUCAAUGAAAAUGGGAUAUUUUGGUAUUGAGUUUUGAUUUAAAAGCCUCACUUCCCCCCCCCCCCUUUUUUGAGGUUUGCUCUGAACUCUGUGAAAGGCUGUUUUCCUGCCUGCUGUUCUU
rnacentral:lncRNA from 1 species